rnacentral:rRNA from 1 species
UACGGAGGGGGCUAGCGUUGUUCGGAAUUCUGGGCGUAAAGCGCACGUAGGCGGCUUUGCAAGUUAGAGGUGAAAGCCCGGGGCUCAACUCCGGAAUUGCCUUUAAAACUGCAUCGCUAGAAUUGUGGAGAGGUAAGUGGAAUUCCGAGUGUAGAGGUGAAAUUCGUAGAUAUUCGGAAGAACACCAGUGGCGAAGGCGACUUACUGGACACAUAUUGACGCUGAGGUGCGAAAGCGUGGGGAGCAACAGGAUUAAGCAAACCCCGG